rnacentral:snoRNA from 1 species
GAAGCUCAAGUGAUAAUCAUUUGCAUAGUUCAAAUGACAAUAUACUAUGAUUAUAAUUCUUUUAUUGGUUUCGCUCCUAUCUGAUGAGCUUU